UACGUAGGUGGCAAGCGUUAUCCGGGUUUACUGGGUGUAAAGGGCGUGUAGGCGGGACUGCAAGUCAGAUGUGAAACCCAUGGGCUCAACCCAUGGCCUGCAUUUGAAACUGUAGUUCUUGAGUGAUGGAGAGGCAGGCGGAAUUCCGUGUGUAGCGGUGAAAUGCGUAGAUAUACGGAGGAACACCAGUGGCGAAGGCGGCCUGCUGGACAUUAACUGACGCUGAGGCGCGAAAGCGUGGGGAGCAAACAGG
rnacentral:rRNA from 1 species